rnacentral:rRNA from 1 species
AUUGAACGCUGGCGGCAGGCCUAACACAUGCAAGUCGAGCGAGCGGCGGACGGGUGAGUAAUGUCUGGGAAACUGCCUGAUGGAGGGGGAUCACUACUGGAAACGGUAGCUCAUACCGCAUACCAGCAGCUGUGCCCCGAGGGGAUUAGUUAGUAGGUGGGGUAUCGGCUCACGUAGGUGACGAUCCCUAGCUGUUCUGAGAGGAUGACCAGUCACACUGGACCUGAACCACGGUCCAGACUCCGACGGGAGGCGGCAGUGGGGAAGUUUUCACAAUGGGCGGAAGCCGGAUGCAGCCAUGCCGCGUGAGUGAAGAAGGCCGUAGGGUUGUAAAGCACUUUCAGCGGGGAGGCGUUACCCGCAGAAGAAGCACCGGCUAACUCCGUGCCAGCAGCCGCGGUAAUUC